AGGUAGCAGCCUGCUGCACCCCCCGCCCCCCGCCAUCACCCACUUCUAGGCCCACAUCCCCUGGGGCUGGGGCCUUCCCUUUCCUCCAGCCCUGGUGCCAUGUUGCCCGCAGGCCCAGCAGGGAGAGAGAUCAGCUGACCCCGGGACAGUCUGGGCAGCUGUGCAGAACCUUGAAGGAGGGGCGGGUUUUACACACGACAGGCUGACCCCCCUCCCCCCCCCCGCCAUGUGCACAGGCAGCACCCUGGAGAUGACAAAGCCUUUUAUAUCCUCCCAUCUCGUCCCUACAGAAACCCACUUUACAAGCUAGAAAACAGGUUCAGAGGGGUAGAGUGACCUGUCCAAGUAGGUGGCGGAGCUGAGACUGGCACCCGGGUCUGUCUCCGUCUCUGCCCUAGUUGUAAAGAGGACAGGAACCGGCAUGGCCAGGGGAUGGGGGGUGACGUAGAGGCUUCUCUCUGGGGUGUGAAUGAGACUGGUCAGCCAGAGUGCUGCCCAAUCACAGAGGACCUUGAGGGAGCAGAUACCAGGCAGCUAUUGAAGGCUUUUGAGCAGGGGAGUUAGGGCUGAGCUAACGAAGGGAGUGGAAGGGAACUCAUUUCUACCCAUCCCUGCCAUGUGUCAGGCCUGGUAUUAGGGGCUUUUAUAUGCAUUUACUUUACUUAAUCCUCAUGACAAGCCUGUUAAACACUCUCCCCCCCCCCCACCCCCUCCCAUAUCUGAGAAAACAGGCUCAGAAAUGUUAAGUAACUUGCCCAAGGUCAAGUAGCCCAUGGGUAGCGGAGCUGGGAUUCAAGUCAGGUCUGGCCCCAAAGUCUGUGGUUUUCCCAAGACUGCCAGCCUGCCUGCUGUGGUAGAAGGAGCCUAGGGCCUAGACUGAAGCCGGUUCUCUGGCUUGGGCUAGGAGUCCUGUUUGGGCUGUGGGGUGAGCUUCCCACAGUUUCCAGACAGUUGGUCAGGGAAAGCCCCUGAAGGAUGAAGAGGGCGGCCAUGACAAGAUCUGGGGAAAAGCACUCCUGGGAGGAGAAGCAGCCAGUGCAAAGGCCCUGAGGCAGAAGGGCGUUCAGAAUAUUUGGGGAACAGCAGGGCAGCCAGUGUCGCUGAGCUUCAUGAGCAAGGGGGAGAGGGGAGGAGGAGAGGAGGGGAGGCUAGCAAGAAGGCGAUGCCAUCCCAUGCACGGCUUUGGAGGCUUGGGGAGGACUCUGGAUUUUGUUUUAUUCGAAGAGGCCUGGGAAGCCCUGGAGGGUUGUAACUGGGGGAGUGAUGUGACUUGAAACCCAGUUGAGAAGGAUGGAUUAGAGAGAGCCCCAGAGAAGUAACAGGGGCCUGUGAAGGGGCCAUUACCGUUUUGUGGGGGGGUAUCUGGGGGCAGUUGGACAUCGGCCUGGAGGUCAGCAUCAAGGUGUGAGAUUGAGCUGGGGAGGCGAGAGCCCGGGGCACAGAAGCAAUAAGCGAAGCCGGGAGGGGCUGGGUUCACCUAGGGCUUGUGUUUCGGGUAAGAGAGGAGAGUGGCCAGGGCGGGCAGAGGGAGGUGCAGAGGAAAUGAAGCCGCAGUGGCCACCCUCCUACCCCUUUACUUCCUCCUCCUACCCCUCCCUGCCCCCUCUUACAUUCCCCUGGGGACUCCCUCACUCUCCCCUGGGCUGUCAGACCGCCCCCAGGUUCAGUGUGUCAGGACAUACAAGGCACUGCAGCCAGAUGAGCUGACCCUGGAAAAGACUGACAUCCUGGCAGUGAGGACCCAAACCAGCGACGGUGAGAAGGGCCUCCUGGGAAGGCCUCCCUGAUGGGGCUUGGGUGGGUAGGAGGUCGCUAGAUGGCUAAGAUACCACAGGAGAAGCUUGUGCAAGUGUUGAUCAACCACAGCAUGCAGGAAUCAAGUUAGACAAGAGGAGGAACCUCCUGCUCAUAAAGGUGUAGGAUUUGGAGUGACUGAUGGGGGGAGAGGGGGAAAUACCCUUCGUGGAGGAUGUCGGGAAAAACAGCUCAGAAGUUCAUCUGCAAGGCUGCCAGAGGCAGGGUCCUUCCUGGAGCUGGGAGAUGCUGGGAUGAUGUCACCUCGGCCCCGGGGGUGCAGACAAGGCUUGCAUCAGGGCCUAGGCGUUCCCUUGCAGACCUGGCCCUGGUGUCCCUUCGAUGCCACUCACGGACGCUGCUCCUGGCCUGUGUGCCUGUAGGCUGGCUGGAGGGGGUCCGCCUGGCAGAUGGUGAGAAGGGGUGGGUGCCCCAGGCCUACGUGGAAGAGAUCAGCAGCCUCAGUGCCCGCCUUCGAAACCUCCGGGAGAAUAAGCGGAUCACAAGCGCCACCAGCAAAGUGGGGGAGCCCCCCGUGUGAUGGGCAGCCGCGGCCUGGGACAUCGUGCCCGGCUCCUGGACAGGUCUGGAGGGACCUGUUGUGUCCCAUGCCCCAGGCCAUCGCGGCUGCGCCUUGGCCUGGCAUCGAGAGCAUAGCCUGUCUUCACGUUCCUUAAAGUCCACGCUUUGGGGCCGAUGCCGGUUUCUUCCUCUGGCAUAGGGACUGCACAGGUGACAUAUGGC
rnacentral:lncRNA from 1 species